GUGGGGAAUAUUGCACAAUGGGCGCAAGCCUGAUGCAGCAACGUCGCGUGAGGGACGACGGCCUUCGGGUUGUAAACCUCUUUUAGCAGGGAAGAAGCGAAAGUGACGGUACCUGCAGAAAAAGCACCGGCUAACUACGUGCCAGCAGCCGCGGUAAUACGUAGGGUGCAAGCGUUGUCCGGAAUUAUUGGGCGUAAAGAGCUCGUAGGCGGUUUGUCGCGUCUGCUGUGAAAACCCGAGGCUCAACCUCGGGCCUGCAGUGGGUACGGGCAGACUAGAGUGCGGUAGGGGAGAUUGGAAUUCCUGGUGUAGCGGUGGAAUGCGCAGAUAUCAGGAGGAACACCGAUGGCGAAGGCAGAUCUCUGGGCCGUAACUGACGCUGAGGAGCGAAAGCGUGGGGAGCGAACAGGAUUAGAAACCCUGGUAGUCC
rnacentral:rRNA from 1 species